AUGGCACCUUUACAGAGCGCUUGGUUGCCCUGGUUACUACCAACGGGGAAGACACGAGGUCCCACGAUCACCUUUUCGCCGGUUUUGUCUAGUCUAGACUGGUCGAGUUCUUCCUCUGGAUUUGGAGAGCUUCUUUCUCAUAAGUCUUCUUCCUCAUAAUAAGGAUUGUCCUGGAUCAUUGCACUGCUGCUAGUGGAGAAGUCAGUUACAUUCGACUGUUCCACAGCGUAUCCAUCUCUGUGUACAAGGUUCUCCUCCUGGUUCUGCUCCUCUCGCUCUGCAUCAGUUCAUGGAGGUCUUAACAAAAGGCAGAAAGACCCAGCUUGGGAAGGGGGAAUGGUAGCCACCCUAACCUGGAAAGAGGUUGUUUUGCAGGAAGCCAAGGGAAAAUGAUUAUAUGUAGAAAAGCUCCUAAAAUUAAUUUGAUUCAAUAUUAAUUUUCCUCAAAGAUGAAGAAAGAAAAUUCCUAAAAUAGCAUCUACCUCCCAGGUUUGUGAGAUUAAAUGAUUUACUAUUUGUAAAGCUCUGAGUAUAGUGCCUGGCAUAUAUGUAUAUUAUAUGUAUAUAUAUGUGUGUGUGUGUAUAUAGAAACCACUGAUUAUUAGAGAAAUACAAAAUUUAAAACAAUCCCGUAGUUCACCCUUAUUAGAUUAGCUAAAAUGUCAAAAAAAGAAAAAUGGCAAAAUGGAGGGG
rnacentral:lncRNA from 1 species